AUUGAACGCUGGCGGCAGGCCUAACACAUGCAAGUCGAGCGUGAAAGCCUUCGGGUGAGUAAAGCGGCGGACGGGUGAGUAACGCGUGGGAAUCUGCCCGGUAGCGGGGGACAACAGUCGGAAACGACUGCUAAUACCGCAUACGCCCUGAGGGGGAAAGCAGGGGAUCUUCGGACCUUGCACUAUCGGAUGAGCCCGCGUCAGAUUAGCUGGUUGGUAGGGUAAUGGCCUACCAAGGCAACGAUCUGUAACUGGUCUGAGAGGAUGAUCAGUCACACUGGAACUGAGACACGGUCCAGACUCCUACGGGAGGCAGCAGUGGGGAAUAUUGCACAAUGGGGGAAACCCUGAUGCAGCCAUGCCGCGUGUGUGAAGAAGGCCUCGGGUUGUAAAGCACUUUAAGCAGUGAGGAAGGGUUGAACGCUAAUAUCGUUCAACAUUGACGUUAGCUGCAGAAUAAGCACCGGCUAACUCCGUGCCAGCAGCCGCGGUAAUACGGAGGGUGCAAGCGUUAAUCGGAUUUACUGGGCGUAAAGCGCGCGUAGGCGGUAAUCCAAGCUGGGUGUGAAAGCCCCGGGCUCAACCUGGGAAUUGCAUUCAGAACUGGAUUGCUAGAGUACAGAAGAGGGGUGUGGAAUUUCCGGUGUAGCGGUGAAAUGCGUAGAGAUCGGAAGGAACUCAGUGGCGAAGGCGACACCCUGGUCUGAUACUGACGCUGAGGUGCGAAAGCGUGGGUAGCAAAACAGGAUUAGAUACCCUGGUAG
rnacentral:rRNA from 1 species